UACAGAGGCCUCGAGCGUUAGGCGGAAUCACUGGGCUUAAAGCGUGUGUAGGCGGACUUCUAAGUACCUUGUGAAAUCCCACAGCUUAACUGUGGAACUGCUUGGUAUACUGGUUGUCUUGAGGUACCUAGGGGCGAGCGGAACAAGUGGUGGAGCGGUGAAAUGCGUAGAUAUCACUUGGAACGCCAACGGUGAAAACAGCUCGCUGGGGGUAUCCUGACGGCUGAGA
rnacentral:rRNA from 1 species